rnacentral:rRNA from 1 species
AGUGAGAAUGCCGGAAUGAGUAGCGAGAAUUAUGUGAGAAUCAUAAUGGCCGAAAAUCUAAGGUUUUAGGAGGAAGGUUCGUCCGCUCCUAGUAAGCCGGGAGCUAAGGCGAGGCGGAAACGCGUAGCCGAUGCACAUACGGUAGAAAUUCCGUAGCCUCUGAAAGAUUUAAGCACAAGGACACUUGAGAAGCGUUUAUCCGGGAGUUGGUAUUCCCGGUCGUAAGGGACCCCGAAUGGGGGAAGUAAAUGUGGAUUGAGGCAAGAAAAGUUGUGUGAAUAUCUGAAGAGCCCGUACCGCAAACCGACACAGGUAGAUAGGAAGAGAAUUCUAAGGCCAACGGGAGAAGGGUUGUUAAGGAACUCGGCAAGUUGACUCCGUAACUUAGGGAGAAGGAGUGCUCGAAAGAGCCGCAGAGAAUAGGCCCAAGCGACUGUUUAGCAAAAACACAGCUCUAUGCUAAAUCGAAAGAUGACGUAUAUGGGGUGACACCUGCCCGGUGCUGGAAGGUUAAGAGGAGAAGUGAGAGCUUUGAAUCGAAGCCCCAGUAAACGGCGGCCGUAACUAUAACGGUCCUAAGGUAGCGAAAUUCCUUGUCAGGUAAGUUCUGACCCGCACGAAUGGCGUAAUGAUCUGGGAGCUGUCUCAACUGCCCGCCCGGCGAAAUUGUAGUACCGGUGAAGAUGCCGGUUACCCGCGACUAGACGGAAAGACCCCAUGGAGCUUUACUGUAGCUUAAUAUUGGAUUUCGGCAUUUCAUGUACAGGAUAGGUGGGAGACUAGGAAACAUAGGCGUCAGCUUAUGCGGAGUCGUCCUUGGGAUACCACUCUUGGAGUGCUGAAAUUCUAACCUGCAGCCCUGAAUCGGGUUGGGGGACAUUGUUAGGUGGGCAGUUUGACUGGGGCGGUCGCCUCCAAAAAGGUAACGGAGGCGCUCAAAGGUUCGCUCAGCAUGGAUGGAAACCAUGCCAGAGAGUGUAAACGCAAAAGCGAGCCUAACUGCGAGACUGACGGGUCGAGCAGUAACGAAAGUUGGAGUUAGUGAUCCGGCGGUAUGUGAGUGGAAAUGCCGUCGCUCAACGGAUAAAAGCUACCCUGGGGAUAACAGGCUGAUCUCCCCCAAGAGUCCACAUCGACGGGGAGGUUUGGCACCUCGAUGUCGGCUCAUCGCAUCCUGGGGCUGUAUUCGGUCCCAAGGGUUUGGCUGUUCGCCAAUUAAAGCGGUACGCGAGCUGGGUUCAGAACGUCGUGAGACAGUUCGGUCCCUAUCUGUCGUGGGCGAAGGAUAUUUGAAAGGAGCUGUCCCUAGUACGAGAGGACCGGGAUGGACGCACCUCUGGUGUACCAGUUGUCACGCCAGUGGCACAGCUGGGCAGCUAAGUGCGGAACGGAUAAACGCUGAAGGCAUCUAAGCGUGAAGCCGGCCUUAAGAUAAGAUAUCCCAUUACGUAAGUAAGUAAGACCCCUCAAAGACUAUGAGGUUGAUAGGUCUGAGGUGUAAGCAUGGCGACAUGUUAAGCCAGCGGAUACUAAUAGGUCGAGGGCUUUUCCUU